GUAGGUGGCAAGCGUUGUCCGGAAUUAUUGGGCGUAAAGCGCGCGCAGGCGGUUCUUUAAGUCUGAUGUGAAAGCCCACGGCUCAACCGUGGAGGGUCAUUGGAAACUGGAGAACUUGAGUACAGAAGAGGAAAGCGGAAUUCCACGUGUAGCGGUGAAAUGCGUAGAGAUGUGGAGGAACACCAGUGGCGAAGGCGGCUUUCUGGUCUGUAACUGACGCUGAGGCGCGAAAGCGUGGGGAGCAAACAGGAUCAGAUACCCUGGUAGUCCACGCCGUAAACGAUGAGUGCUAAGUGUUAGGGGGUUUCCGCCCCUUAGUGCUGCAGCUAACGCAUUAAGCACUCCGCCCUGGGAGUACGGCCGCAAGGCUG
rnacentral:rRNA from 1 species